rnacentral:lncRNA from 1 species
GAGAUGAUGUCAUCCACCACUAAUAAAGAUGCAGGGACCUUAGAUAUGACGUUGGGAUUCAUUCCUAAUUUGUCACAGGAGCUGAAGGCAAUUCUGUCUGAGGGGUAGCUGUCACUGAGAAAGGUACUACUUUCCUGACAAAAGAGAAGUGAAGCUGAUGAUGCCAGUAAACUAUGCUGUGAAGAAUGUUGUGACAAAGGGACUUUUCUGAAAGUAUGCA